UGUGGUUUAAUUCGAUGCAACGCGAAGAACCUUACCUACUCUUGACAUCCAGAGAAGCCAGCGGAGACGCAGGUGUGCCUUCGGGAACUCUGAGACAGGUGCUGCAUGGCUGUCGUCAGCUCGUGUUGUGAAAUGUUGGGUUAAGUCCCGCAACGAGCGCAACCCUUAUCCUUGUUUGCCAGCGAGUAAUGUCGGGAACUCCAGGGAGACUGCCGGUGAUAAACCGGAGGAAGGUGGGGACGACGUCAAGUCAUCAUGGCCCUUACGAGUAGGGCUACACACGUGCUACAAUGGCGCAUACAGAGGGCAGCAAGCUAGCGAUAGUGAGCGAAUCCCAAAAAGUGCGUCGUAGUCCGGAUUGGAGUCUGCAACUCGACUCCAUGAAGUCGGAAUCGCUAGUAAUCGUGAAUCAGAAUGUCACGGUGAA
rnacentral:rRNA from 1 species